rnacentral:lncRNA from 1 species
AAUCUAAUAGCAUAGGAACAGAUGUCUAUAUCAAUCAAAGUAACCAUCUAGCAAUGGUACCCGACGUCUAGAUAGGCUGAAUGUAUGCAAAGCAACACUUAAGAACCUAUUUGGAUAUAGUUACCGUAUAAUUCAUCCCUUUGACCCUUGUGAAAGGAAGGAAAACAGUUUUUCUCCAUGAUACCCAAGUUGCAUCUAAAAUUUUUUUAAUAUUCUACUUGUUUAAUGAUCAAAUUCUUACCUAAAAUGCAGUGGAAUCAGGGAUCAAAUCCUAAAUUAUCUGAUAUAAACUUUCAUGGAGGCUUGGAUGUAUAGACCCUCUACUUCGCAUGCACGUCAGA